rnacentral:pre_miRNA from 1 species
UUUAAGUGCAACCAAAAGUUUUCGUGUCUAAUUUUAAUCGUUCAUCUUAUUUAAAAAUAUUUUAUAAUUAGUAUUUUUAUUGUUACGAGAUGAUAAAAUAUAAAUAGUUAAAUAAGACAGACACUAAAGUUGAAUGCGGAAAACCAUACCUACAUACUUAAA